GAGUUUGAUCCUGGCUCAGAAUGAACGCUGGCGGCGUGCUUAACACAUGCAAGUUGAGCGGUAAGGCCCCUUCGGGGGUACACGAGCAGCGAACGGGUGAGUAACGCGUGGGUAAUCUACCUAGAGGUGGGGGAUAGCCUCGGGAAACCGGGGGUAAUACCGCAUGAGUCCUUUCCAACAUAAGUUGGAUUGGGGAAAGGCGGGGAUCUUAGGACCUGUCGCCUCUAGAUGAGCCCGCGUCCGAUUAGCUUGUUGGUGGGGUAAUGGCCUACCAAGGCAUCGAUCGGUAGCCGGCCUGAGAGGGUGAACGGCCACAUUGGGACUGAGACACGGCCCAGACUCCUACGGGAGGCAGCAGUGGGGAAUUUUGGGCAAUGGGGGAAACCCUGACCCAGCGACGCCGCGUGGAGGAUGAAGGCCUUCGGGUUGUAAACUCCUGUCAGGUGGGAAGAAGAGCUUUGUGGCUAAUAUCCACAAGGAAUUGACGGUACCACCAAAGGAAGCCCCGGCUAACUCCGUGCCAGCAGCCGCGGUAAUACGGGGGGGGCAAGCGUUAUUCGGAUUUACUGGGCGUAAAGCGCACGUAGGUGGCGAUGUAAGUCACAGGUGAAAGCCCUCGGCUCAACCGAGGAACUGCCUGCGAAACUGCAUUGCUUGAGUCCGGGAGGGGGGAGCGGAAUUCCAAGUGUAGCGGUGAAAUGCGUAGAUACUUGGAGGAACACCGGUGGCGAAGGCGGCUCCCUGGACCGGUACUGACACUGAGGUGCGA
rnacentral:rRNA from 1 species